rnacentral:tRNA from 2 species
GGCGUGAUGGCAGAGUGGUUAAUGCGUAAGACUUGAAAUCUUAUUCCCUAGGGAGCGCAGGUUCGAACCCUGCUCACGUCG